AGCAGCUUUGGCUAAUACACUCGGCUGCAGGCCACUGCGGAGAUAUGGCCAGACAGCUACAGAGAGAAGUGCACUCCCAGACGUUGCUGGGACAUGACUUGCAGACUGGGCAGCUCUGGAUCUGUAGCGCUGUGGAUCUGGCACUCAUAGUUUAUCCAAGUGGAAGUGGAACUGAAGUAGAUAUUACUCGAUUAAAGAGAAGAGGAAAUGGGAGCAGAAGGGAGGUACAUGAAUCCACAGCACCCAUAUUGAAGGGAGCAACUGUGCAAGCAAGGAGACGAAUCAUGAUGUGA
rnacentral:lncRNA from 1 species